ACAGCAGCCGCCGCGGGAAAACGUAGGCCCCGAGCGUUGUCCGGAUUUAUUGGGCGUAAAGCGAGCGCAGGCGGUUAGAUAAGUCUGAAGUUAAAGGCUGUGGCUUAACCAUAGUACGCUUUGGAAACUGUUUAACUUGAGUGCAAGAGGGGAGAGUGGAAUUCCAUGUGUAGCGGUGAAAUGCGUAGAUAUAUGGAGGAACACCGGUGGCGAAAGCGGCUCUCUGGCUUGUAACUGACGCUGAGGCUCGAAAGCGUGGGGAGCAAACAGGAUUAGAUACCCGCGUAGUCCCUGUCUCUUAUACA
rnacentral:rRNA from 1 species